rnacentral:rRNA from 1 species
GGGGAAUAUUGCACAAUGGGCGCAAGCCUGAUGCAGCGACGCCGCGUGAGGGAUGGAGGCCUUCGGGUUGUAAACCUCUUUUAUCGGGGAGCAAGCGAGAGUGAGUUUACCCGUUGAAUAAGCACCGGCUAACUACGUGCCAGCAGCCGCGGUAAUACGUAGGGUGCAAGCGUUAUCCGGAAUUAUUGGGCGUAAAGGGCUCGUAGGCGGUUCGUCGCGUCCGGUGUGAAAGUCCAUCGCUUAACGGUGGAUCCGCGCCGGGUACGGGCGGGCUUGAGUGCGGUAGGGGAGACUGGAAUUCCCGGUGUAACGGUGGAAUGUGUAGAUAUCGGGAAGAACACCAAUGGCGAAGGCAGGUCUCUGGGCCGUUACUGACGCUGAGGAGCGAAAGCGUGGGGAGCGAACAGGAUUAGAUACCCUGGUAGUCCACGCCGUAAACGGUGGAUGCUGGAUGUGGGGCCCGUUCCACGGGUUCCGUGUCGGAGCUAACGCGUUAAGCAUCCCGCCUGGGGAGUACGGCCGCAAGGCUAAAACUCAAAGAAAUUGACGGGGGCCCGCACAAGCGGCGGAGCAUGCGGAUUAAUUCGAUGCAACGCGAAGAACCUUACCUGGGCUUGACAUGUUCCCGACGGUCGUAGAGAUACGGCUUCCCUUCGGGGCGGGUUCACAGGUGGUGCAUGGUCGUCGUCAGCUCGUGCCGUGAGAUGUUGGGUUAAGUCCCGCAACGAGCGCAACCCUCGCCCCGUGUUGCCAGCGGAUUAUGCCGGGAACUCACGGGGGACCGCCGGGGUUAACUCGGAGGAAGGUGGGGAUGACGUCAGAUCAUCAUGCCCCUUACGUCCAGGGCUUCACGCAUGCUACAAUGGCCGGUACAACGGGAUGCGACGCGGCGACGCGGAGCGGAUCCCUGAAAACCGGUCUCAGUUCGGAUCGCAGUCUGCAACUCGACUGCGUGAAGGCGGAGUCGCUAGUAAUCGCGAAUCAGCAACGUCGCGGUGAAUGCGUUCCCG